rnacentral:lncRNA from 1 species
UAAGGAAAUUUUAGAGUUUCAGGGAUAAAAAAACUCAGGGAUAAGAGAUAUAAUAUUUGGAUUUAUAUGAUUAACCUUUUCAUAUUUUCAUUAAAUAAAUAUAUAAUAUCAUUAUUAAUUUAUUUUCUUAAAUAAAUUACUCAUUAUAUCUUUGCAAAUAAUCAAGGAUAAAAUCAAUCUAACACACCUCAAAUCAUAAAUCUUCUGCCCUAGUACAUUGAGGCAUUUUUUCAAAAU